UACAGAGGGUGCAAGCGUUGUUCGGAAUUAUUGGGCGUAAAGGGCGCGUAGGCGGUGCCACAAGUCACCUGUGAAAUCUCCGGGCUCAACCCCGGGCCUGCAGUCGAUACGGGCAGACUAGAGUGCGGUAGGGGAGACUGGAAUUCCUGGUGUAGCGGUGAAAUGCGCAGAUAUCAGGAGGAACACCGGUGGCGAAGGCGGGUCUCUGGGCCGUAACUGACGCUGAGGAGCGAAAGCGUGGGGAGCGAACAGG
rnacentral:rRNA from 1 species